UGAGCAUCGAAGCCGACGGAGCUUGUUUCGUUAGACAUUUAUAGUACAAUAUAUUGAACUAACUGUCUUGGUGUGUACACUAACUGGCAGAUGGCAACUCCUGCAGAAACGUCAGUUCUUCCAUUCUCACAGGGCACAGGUGCGUGAAAAAGAUUGUACCUUGCUUGCAUAGGUGCAUGACCUAUUACAAUUUUGAUGCAUACAAAUAUUUUAUGCUUGUCGUGAUCCUUAAUUCUUUAGUCACAUCCCAGGUUAUUCUACAUUUGUUUUCUCGGAGCCUGGUGCUCCUUCAGUUUGAUAUUUUGUAUUUAACAAUCAGUUCGACCUCUGAUUUGGUAUUUUGAUUUUGAUGCUGAUUCUAGCAAAGGUCUAUAAUGUUAGGUUCUGUCUCCUGCAGAGAUUGAUGGGAAAUAAAAGAAAUUCUACAUUCACUGUUGGUUCCGCUUCAAUUAAAAUAUGAUGAUCUGAAAGAGCUUGCCUGUCUAUUGUCUAUCAUUACCAGAGUAUGGCGAUCUUUCCAGCGUGAUGUCUUGGUAUCAGAUAUGUGUUUAUGAAGUUGAUUUUAAGUAUCAAUUUUGUUUUGCCUCCUACCAGCUUUUUUAUAUUCUAUAGUUGUAAUAUGGUUACGCCUUAAAUUUUCCUGCACGUGCUCAUCAUUUAGUGAUUUUUCCAGCUUUCUUAUGUUUUGUUCUGUUGGAUUUUUGUUAUAUAUGUAUUUUAAUUGUUAUGACUUGAAAUAUUUACGGUUUCAUUACUGCAUUUGAGAUCUUGCUUGACUUCAUUUACCUUUGUCGUAGCCAAUGGCAUUGGAACAAGUUUUCUCGGAUCAUGAUAGUGAAGAUGAAGUUGAUGAUGACAUUGCUGAUUUUGAAGAUAGACGGAUCAUCUUCUACAUACUCUAAUUUCAGCUUUGGAUGGACCAACGUUAAAGAUGUUGCCCUGGCACAUAUCAUUGCGUAUGAAGUUGCUUCAGCAAACGGAAGAUACUGCUUGGUUGGAAGAGUUGCUCACUACUUGGAGAUUGUCGAGAUCAUACAUGAAUAUUGAACUUCAAAUGCCAGACAAGAUAAUAUUGCACCUGGGCCUGUUCUGGACUGUAUGUAUUGCACCUGGACUGCAACUCUACAGGUGCAAUACAUACAGCCCAGGUGUUGUUCUGUGACUCAACCAAAGAUGCCUGUAUUGUUCGAUCUGCCUGUCUGGCUCUUUGUUGUGCUGCAUGGCCAGACCGAGAUCCAAAGUACUACGAUCCUUAAUCCUUAUGCUUCAGUGGCGGAUCUAGCAUGUACACACACAAUGAAUUUACCCAUGACAAGCCGGUUGCCUCGCUGAAGCUUUGUAGCAAUUUCUUUGGGACCAUUUGGAAUCUCUGCUCCUCAUCCAACAACACCCGUUUGCGGAUCAGCUCGGAUUGUGAUCAUGUCGUAAGAAUGGGUAUGGCAAGUAUCAGCGAGAACAGGUUAAAUGGAUGUGGAUGUACAAAGUAUCAGCGAAAACAGGUUAAAUGAUCAUGUCCUCACUCUUUCAAAUUCAGGUUGUAUGUGGAUGUACCAAGUUUCCUGAUUUUCUGUUGACUUGUAUUCAGCAUGGCACUUAUGCUUUUUUUCUUUUAUGGAAGCAUGGCACUUAUGCUUUUUUUUA